GACGGAGGAUGCAAGUGUUAUCCGGAAUCACUGGGCGUAAAGCGUCUGUAGGUGGUUUAAUAAGUCAACUGUUAAAUCUUGAGGCUCAACCUCAAAAUCGCAGUCGAAACUAUUAGGCUAGAGUAUAGUAGGGGUAAAGGGAAUUUCCAGUGGAGCGGUGAAAUUCGUAGAUAUUCGCAAGAACACCAGUGGCGAAGGCGGCUAACUGGUCCGGUUCUGACGCUGAGGCGCGAAAGCGUGGGGAGCAAACAGG
rnacentral:rRNA from 1 species